GGAUACCUGGUGCAUUCGCCAGAUGGUCGGUUCUCUACCCGAUACAUGUAACUCAGGAGGUUAUCCGCCGUUGAUGUGUGCAUGUCCGCGCCGCGGGAAGCCUGAUUCAAUGCAAUAACCUCCGCCCUGGACCGUCGGGUUCAAGGGCAAGAUCAUCAGCGGUGCUCCGGGGAUCCC
rnacentral:other from 1 species